rnacentral:rRNA from 1 species
UACAGAGGUCUCAAGCGUUGUUCGGAUUCAUUGGGCGUAAAGGGUGCGUAGGUGGCGCCGUAAGUCAGGUGUGAAAUUUCGGAGCGUUAACUCCGAAACUGCAUUUGAUACUGCGGUGCUUGAGGACUGGAGAGGAGACUGGAAUUUACGGUGUAGCAGUGAAAUGCGUAGAGAUCGUAAGGAAGACCAGUGGCGGAAGGCGGGUCUCUGGACAGUUCCUGACACUGAGGCACGAAGGCCAGGGGAGGCAAACGGG